rnacentral:rRNA from 1 species
UGGGGAAUAUUGCACAAUGGGCGAAAGCCUGAUGCAGCGACGCCGCGUGAGGGAUGACGGCCUUCGGGUUGUAAACCUCUUUCAGCAGGGACGAAGCGCAAGUGACGGUACCUGCAGAAGAAGCACCGGCUAACUACGUGCCAGCAGCCGCGGUAAUACGUAGGGUGCAAGCGUUGUCCGGAAUUACUGGGCGUAAAGAGUUCGUAGGCGGUUUGUCGCGUCGUUUGUGAAAACCAGCAGCUCAACUGCUGGCUUGCAGGCGAUACGGGCAGACUUGAGUACUGCAGGGGAGACUGGAAUUCCUGGUGUAGCGGUGAAAUGCGCAGAUAUCAGGAGGAACACCGGUGGCGAAGGCUGGUCUCUGGGCAGUAACUGACGCUGAGGAACGAAAGCGUGGGUAGCGAACAGG